GGUCGGUCGGGCGGGGCGGGGCGGGGCGGGGCGGGGGGGGGCGGGGCGGGGCCCCCGGUAGGCCAGAGGUCCCGGAGACUUUCGGUUUCCUUUCUCGUCUCCUGCGCUCAGUUUCCAGUUUCGUUUCACCGCGUUUCAGUUGUGUGAGCUCGCGGGGGGUUUGAGCGUCCUUCCGCCACAACAUCCAGCAAGAGGCAGCAGAGGACUUUGGGAUUUGGGCGUGAAAUAGAGGGAAAUGAGGCAGAGAAAUCCGGGACAUCUAUCUAAACAAGAUAAAAUCAAGAAGAGGCGGAAUUAGAAAUAGGUGAAAUGUGUCCACCUAAAAAAUGUUCACAACCUAGAAGUUGAGAGUUACGUUUUACUCGGCAGGAAUUUUUAGGACUUCAAGCCCAGGAGGCAGCCUCUCAAGAAACCCUGAGAAACUGCUCUGAGGAGGUGAGGGGGGCGGAGCCAAAUUACAUAGUUUUUGCAACGAAGGGCAGGUAGUCUGAACGUCAGGAGAUUAUUGUUAAUUAAGGAAAACCAGAUAUCCCAAGCUCUCCGGGGCCAGUGUUUUCACAUCCUGAGUUUCCGCGUGGCUCACCGCAGGGAGUGGCUGCAGUCUGAUGGCUGCUAGACGGCAGGCCAGUGUGGGCAUCACCACUCCUCACCUGGAUGGCUGAAACAGCUCUUCCCCGCUGGACUGCAGUCGGUCCCUCCAUCCCAUUUCCACCUGCUGCCAGGGUCACCAGUGAGCAUGGAAAACGGAGCCUGUCCAGUACCUGUUGAACACACACCAGUGCUUCCUCAUUGCUUCUGGAUUAAAGCAACCUACUAGUCCUUCUUCUUUGGGACCCUCCAACCGUUUGAUAGGUCUCCUUCCACCCGCGCUCGAGUCAGGGGCCACAGCCAAGUGCAGGACCCCUGUCCUGGACAGAUGUGAUUGACAGGUGGUUUGUCCCAUGUACUCACAGCCCCGGAAGGAGCCAGCACCCCAGGCAGGGCACACAGGCCAGGACCGGGGAGCAAAGUCACCAGGUGUGACUGCAGAAGGCAGAUUGGUCAUAACCAGAGGGUGGGGUGACCCUGGCUCCCUUGGGAAGUCGUGAUUGCUUGCUGAAAUAAUCGUGCUGGUGGUCAGGGAGUGACAACUCCUGGGUAAAUGCAGCUGAUCUGGAGGACAGAGGAACUGGCCAGGGUGGGGGGGGGUCGGGCAUGGGGGUAUAUCUGCUCUCACCUGACAAGCCCCCCAGAGAGCUGAUGUGCCCCUGGAGGAACUCAGGGAUCCCUGGGAGGCUCAAAGAUGUCGAGGAUGUCAAGGCAGUGAAGGUUCCCCAAAAUAUGGCACCUCAGCACAUGGAGCAUCUCAGCUGGACGGCAAGAAGCAGGAAGGUCACUCCAACCACCACCUUUACAUUCUUCCCUGAAAUCAGGAGACACCCCUCACCCCCCAUCCCCCGGGACCAGAGGACAGAGGACAUCCUCAUCACCAGAGAGGGGGAACACAGGGCCAAGGAGGCAGAAGGCUGUGUGAAUUCACCUGGUCACUUCUCACCUUCUACUACCCCAGCCCAAAGCCCUCUGUCUUGCCGAUUCUUCACAUACUUAUUGUUUCUUUGUCUAAAAGGUAUAAAAUCUUCCUGCUCUGCACGCAUCCCUAUGUUCAUAGCAGCACUAUUCACAACAGCCAAGACAAGGGAGCAACCUAAAUGUCCAUCAACAGAUGAAUGGAUAAAGAAGGUGUGGUACAUAUAUACAAUGGAAUAUUACUCAGCCAUAAAAAAAGAAUAAAAUAAUGCCAUUUGCAGCAACGUGGAUGGAGCUGGAGAUUAUCCUACUAAGUAAAGUAAGUCAGACAGAGAAAGACAAAUAUCAUAUGAUAUCACUUAUAAGUGGAGUUCUAAAAUAUGACACAAACGAACUAAUUUACAAAACAGAAAUAGACUCACAGACAUAGAAAACAAACUUAUAGUUACCAGGAGCAAAAGGGGAGGGAUAAAUUGGGAGAUUGGGAUUGACAUAUACACACUACUGUAUAUAAAAUAGAUAACUAAUAAGGCCCUACUGUAGAGCACAGGGGACUCUACUCAAUACUCUGUAGUGGCCUAUAUGGGCAAAGAAUCUAAAAAAGAGCGGAUAUAUGCAUAUGUAUAACUGAUUGACUUUGCUUUACGCCUGAAACUAACCCAACAUUGUAAAUCAACUGUAU